GAGAAGGCUUGCUCUUCACUCUGCUGCUGGCUGUGGAGUUUGUCCAGAGAUGCCUCAGCACGGCCAUCUCCAGCCUGAGAGAGACUGUCGCUGUGAACAGGAAGAGGCUCGUGGCGAUCCUCUUGGUGAUGAGCCUGGCUGCUCUCGCUGCUGCCUGCUGGGGAAUCGUGCAGCUGACGUGGAGGCAGCGGGCAGAGGAUGUGCUGCAGAUUGGCUUUUCUGGUGGCCGCGUGGAACAAUCUCCCUGUCUGAGGAACGAGGUCGUGUGCCUGGCUGAUGAGAUGGACACCAUGAAGAAAGCGAUGCUGCAGCCGGACGAUUUCCCGACCUGCUGCUGGCCCUUCCAAGAGUCUGGGAGCGAGGUGCUGAGCUGGUUACCGGCACAAAUACCUCUGCAGGCCGUCAGUGUGCAGCAGAGCUCCGAGAGAGCCUCUCCGCUGGGGACUGCCAUCAGCGCCCGCCGAGAUGUUGCUGUCUGUGGCCUGGAUGAGGAAGGCGAGGAGGCAACUCUGCUGGGGACGUGGAGCUGCAGCAGGCAGGAGAAGCCCCACCAGAGCUUGCCUCUGCAGAAUGGGAUCCCCGGCGCCUUUCAGCUCACAAAUCCUGGCAAUUGGAGCAGCUCGGGAACCCCAGCACAGAGGCUGAUAGAUCGGGUGCUGGCGAUGGGGAAGAUGGUGGGAAGAUGGUGGGCGUCAUUAGACCUGUUUUCUUCAAUAAAAUUUCCCGUGUAAAAAGGAGACUCAGGCCAGAGGGAUGCGGCUGUUGGUCUGGUGCAGAGCAAGGUGGUCUCAGAGGCCCUCUCCGAGCUGCCAGCUCCUGCCUUUCGCAGGCAGAGGCCUUCCUCAGGCUUUGCGCUUUCAUCCACCAAGGGCAUCUUUCCUGACCCGGCAAAAGGAGACGACGCUCCUGAAGCCUUUCCCUGCCUCAGGUCCUUGGCAAAAUCCUUUGGCACCAGGGUCGCCUCUGGCCCCUGUAAGGAGUCGUCGGAGCCUGUCAGCAUCUGGGGCUCCUGAUGGCCAGGCUCUGGCCCAUUCCCUUCAGGGAACACGUUGGAUCUGGGGACUGGGUCUAGUGGGGACCCACAUGGUGCGGCCACGUCUGGGACAUGCCUCCAGGAAAGGAUGGAGAUUCUCCUUUGCCCUCCUUUUGUUGCUACUCUAUCUAGACAGACAUUUUCUGGUGCUUUUUACAGCAGUAGCCAGAUGAAGUUCUGUCUGGGCUUUGGCGCUUCUCAUUUUCUCUCUGCGUAACCUCAGGAGUCCUUCAAAGCCCGGAAGCUCUCCUUUUGUCCCCUCCCCUGACUGCCAGCCAAAGCUCUCUGGUCAGCCAGGCCGGUCUUCUUCCCUGCCACCUUGUCUUUGGGCACAUGGCCAUAGCCUGCUCCCGUGCCAUGAAGAUCUCCUUGUGGAAGAAUAUCCAGCCUUCCUGAUCCUUUGCCCUUUGGAAAUAAUUAGUAAUUAUGCCUGUUCUAAAGGACAUGAAAUGAAUAUUUGAGAAUUUUGUGUAAGUUUUAUGUUGUAGUCUGUCAAAAUGUUAAAAUCUUUAACAUGUAAGGGAGGAAUUCUGUAUAAAUUUUUGAUAUUAUUAUAGAAAAAGAAAAG
rnacentral:lncRNA from 1 species